GCAGUGAUGAGGAGCAUCCGAGGAUCACUGAGCACCUCGAGGAGAGGAGGAGCAUCUGGUGGAGAGGAGGAGCAUCUCGUGGAGACGAGGAGCAUCUGGCGGAGACGAGGAGUAGUAUCUGGCAGAGACGAGGAGUAGUAUCUGGCGGAGACGAGGAGGAGCAUCUGGCGGAGACGAGGAGGAGCAUCUGGCGGAGACGAGGAGGAGCAUCUGGCGGAGAUGAGGAGCACCCGGCGGAGACGAGGAGCACCCGGCGGAGACGAGGAGCACCCGGCGGAGACGAGGAGCAGCCACUGGAGACGAGGAGCAGCCGCUGGAGACGAGGAGCAGCCGGUGGAGAGGAGGAGCAUCUCGAGGAGAGGAGGAGCAUCCCGUGGAGAGGAGGAGCAUCCCGUGGAGAGGAGCAUCCGGUGGAGACGAGUAGCAUCCGGCGGAGACGAGGAGUAGCAUCCGGCGGAGACGAGUAGCAGCAUCCAGAGGAGACGAGUAGCAGCAUCCGGAGGAGACGAGGAGUAGCAUCCGGCGGAGAGGAGCAGUAGCAUCCGGUGGAGAGGAGGAGGAGCAUCCGGAGGAGAGGUGGAGGAGUAUCCGGCGGAGAGGAGGAGGAGCAUCUGGCGGAGAGGAGGAGGAGCAGCCGGGGGAGACGAGAAGCAGCCGGUGGAGACGAGGAGCAGCCGGUGGAGAGGAGGAGCAGCCGGUGGAGACGAGGAGCAGCCGGUGGAGAGGAGGAGCAGCCGGUGGAGAGGAGGAGCAGCCGGUGGAGAGGAGCAGCAGCCGGUGGAGAGGAGGAGCAUCUCGAGGAGAGAAGGAACAUCCGGUGGAGAGGAGGAGCAGCCAGUGGAGAGGAGGAGCAGCCGGUGGAGAGGAGGAGCAGCCAGUGGAGAGGAGGAGCAUCCGGUGGAGAGGAGGAGCAUCUCGUGGAGAGGAGGAGCAUCUGGUGGAGAGGAGGAGCAUCUGGUGGAGAGGAGGAGCAUCUCGUGGAGAGGAGGAGCAUCUUGUGGAGAGGAGGAGCAUCUCGUGGAGACGAGGAGCAUCUGUUGGAGGGGAGGAGCAUCUGUUGGAGGGGAGGAGCAUCUGUUGGAGGGGAGGAGCAUCUGGUGGAGAGGAGGAGCGUCUGGUGGAGAGGAGGAGUAGUAUCUGGUGGAGAGGAGGAGCAUCCGGUGGAGACGAGGAGCAUCUCGAGGAGAGGAGGAGCAUCUCGAGGAGAGGAGGAGCAUCCGGUGGAGAGGAGGAGCAUCCGGUGGAGAUGAGGAGCAUCCGGUGGAGACGAGGAGCAUCUGGUGGAGAGGAGGAGCAUCUCGAGGAGAGGAGGAGCAUCCAGUGGAGAGGAGGAGCAUCCGGUGGAGACGAGGAGCAUCUCGUGGAGACGAGGAGCAGCCGGUGGAGACGAGGAGCAGCCGGUGGAGACGAGAAGAGAGAGAUAGGUUCCUCUCAAUCUCCGCCGGGUCCUCACUCUCAUCUCG
rnacentral:lncRNA from 1 species